AACUCAGGGAUCAAACCCAGGUCUCCCACAUUGCAGGCAGACACUUUACCCUCUGAGCCACCAGGGAAGCCUUGAAUUUAGACUAAAAAAGUAAAAACAUUUAGAAGUAAAUGAUCCUGAUGUCUUUGACUCUCAAAUGUUUUGUCUAUAUUAUAUGUGUCUAUAGGUAUGUGUGUGAAUGUGUGUAUUUAGUAAGGAAAGGAAUAUGAUACAAAUUUGCCAAAAUGUUGUAGAUGACGCUAGUUUUAUGGGAUACAUGAGCUCGUUGUACUAUUUUUACACCUCCAAAUAUAAUUCUCAAUAUAUCCUGUAUUAUUUAAGCUGCUGAAUUCAGAAAUCCUUUUCUGAAUUUGGAGGAUUUGAUGAUUUGGUAGAUUCAGUGCACUGUGUUUGAAUCAUUUGUGUUGAUGAAAUAGUUUCUAGAGACUGCUGGAAAUUGUUCCCAGUGGUGAAUCUUCAUUCUGGCAAAUGUCUGUGUGGGAGUUCAAGUCAGAGAUGAUAGGAAAGCAUCUUUCUUUCAGAAAAGGAGAUGCAACUACAUUGGGGCUCACUUUAUAAAGUAAUUGCUAUUUAUUAUCAUGUCGAAUUACCUAAAUGUCAGGUGCAUUCAGGAAGCCACAGUGACAUUGCCAUAGGCUUUAUUUCUUAGCAAUAUCUCAGAAAUAAAAGAGCAAAUUUCCCAACUGAAGCAGAUUUUGGAAUACAUAAUAAUGAGCACGAGUUUACAAGUUUAUACAAAAUGCUUAAGAAAGGUGUUCCCUACCUAUAAAGGUGGUCACAAUUACUAAAUAAAAAAUGCCAGCAGUGACAAAACAGUAUAGUAGGUUGAACUACAACAGAUUUUGUACCUCAGAAAGAUGAAAAUUAGAGGAAAAAAAAACUCAUUAAGAUCCUAUGAUUAAAUUGUGGUUGCUUCCUUACUUUCAGAAUUCAAAGACAAUUCUUACUUGAUAUUUUUGCAUUUUAUUUAGAAUAUUCAGAUAGUAAAUCUUUUUUUAGAUUGGUGUCAUUAUGAUUACUAGCUGAAAGAUAGUUGUAGCUUAAUUUUCUUUAGAAUCUCAAUACAUGGUAGACAUUGCUCUAAACAUUUUUGCUUUUUUUAUGUAGUUUGCACAAUAGCUCUAUGAGAUACAGGAGUUUUAUUUUUUUUCUCUUUAUUUUUUAUUCCAAUAUUAUUGGGAUAUAACUGACAUACAGAACUGUAUAAUUUUAGUGUAUAGCAUAAUGAUUUGACUUAAAUACAUCACUGCACAAAGGUUCCCUUUUCUCCACAUCCUCCCCAAUGAGUUAUUUGUUGUCUUUCUGCCAAUAGCUAUUCUGAAAGGUGUGAGGUGGUAUCUCCUUGUGGUUUUGAUUUUCAUUUCCCUGAUGAUUUGUAAUCUUGAACAUCUUUUCAUGUGUCUCUUACCAAUACUGUGUGCAUUUGUAAAAAUGUCUGUUCAGGCCCUAUGAUGUUUUUUUUGUUUGUUUUCUUUUUUUUUCCUUCCAAUUUUAUUCAAAUGUAAUUGACAUACAGUCCUGUAUCUUAGGGCUGAUAGCAAAUGGCUGGUAGAUGGGGCCUCAUCCCUGUACUAAUAGUUAAGACAAAGGAUUCCAGUAUGGCUCUUGCCUGCACUCCCCAAAAUGGCUGCUACCGGUGGUUUGUCCCCAAGGGAAUCCCAGUAACCUCCUACAUCUCGGAAGGCUUCUGCAAGAUGAGCAAGUGGGUCUGACCUCGGCUCCUUUCAGAUUGCUGCCUCUGCACUGAGUCUUGGAGCAUGUGAGAUUUUGUGUGCAUCCAUUAAGGGUGAAAUCUUUCUUACAGCCCUCUGGCUCUUCUAAUACAAGCCCCUGUGGACUUCAAAGCCAGUUGUUUCUGGAGGUUGUUUUCACUGGGAAGCCUGAUGUGGAGCUUGGACCCCCUCACUCCUUGGGAAGAACCUCCGAAAUUGUGAUCAUCCUCCUGUUUUCGAGAUUGCUUGAAGUUGUGAACUUGCAUGUACUCCUAGCCAUCCUUGGUGUCACCACAACAGAGUUUACUUAUUUGCAUGUCCAGGACCACAGAGAGGAUUCAGAUCAAAAAGGGCCUCUGAGCAGAAAAGCUGUCAGUGUUCCAGAAUCUCAUGGCAAAGGAUUCCUUUUUACUAUGUAAUGAAAAAUGGUGAUGUUAAUAAAAC